UUUGCAGGAGUCUCACACCGUGGCGGCUCCUCCCUUACCUCCCUAAAGGGGGUGGGGGGAAGAGCGCAGGAGUGUUUAAAAGAGAAUAAAUAAACAGGAAAUACAUACGCGGAGGAAAGGAAGGAAGGAAACAUGGUAAACUGAGCAGCGCUGGCACAAGCUGGGCCCCUGCCAUUGUCCUCUGCCGGGUGUCAGAGCUUCGCGUUUGGGCAGCCACCACAGGGUGCAUGCACAUGGUGGCGCAGCCUGCUCUCUGCCACCUGCACCGCUCAGAUGGCUGGCAGUAUCCCAGCUCUGCCCUGUGAGCUCCGGUCCUCAGCAGCUCGUCGUGGAUGACAUGGAUAGCCACAUACAUCUUGACAUUCUGCCAUGAGCGUCCUUUGUAUGCAGCAGCCUCUCAGGAAUGUCCAAAGUCUGGAGCAAAUGAAACUGAGACUCUCUUAAAGGACUCUGGUGUACUAAUGCCACGGGGGUCAGGUAUGCCCAGUGGGGAACAAAUUGCAAAGAAACAACACCUUCCCACUAAAUGCCUUAUCUUCUGCCAGAGCAUUAGUGUGCGAGGAUAAAAGAUGAACUUUGUUUUAAGCUCUCUAGGUCAGAUUCUGACUUGUGGGCUCAGGGUGGAUCCUUGGCUUCUUCACCUGUGGAAAGAGGAGCAAUAAACCUAGUGUCUGAGUCUUUCGAGGCUGCAUGUGGCAGGCGGUUAGCCCCCAACACUACCCAUUCAUAAGAGGUUGGCUGUGUCCCUCUGCUCCAAUGUUGCCAUUCAGUAGGAAGAGUGGUCACUGCCCACUGCCGAAUGAGAGCAGAAGCAGCUGUGUCUGAGAACAUGUAAUCUACCCUCCAGAGACAGAGGAGGCGGAGACAAGAGGAGGAACCGUGGUUUCUAGUGAAGUCAAGUAACAGUCGUGCGAUGUGUUCCGUCCGUGUGGCGCUGUGAGAACGGCACGCGUGAGCAGCUGGGACUUCUGCUUCUCUGCCUCUGCGUUCUCCCUGUUUGUCCCUGCUACCAGGGCAGGAACAGUGCCUUUAAACACUAAUUCACCUGCGUGUUGUGGAGCACGCCUCCUACUCGAGGAGGCAGGUGGCUGGGGGUUUGAGGCUAGGCUGGUCUACAAAGCGAGUCCAGGAUAACCAAGACUGCACAGAGAAGCCCUGUUUCAAAACACACCAAAAAAAGCCAAACAAAUGAAUAUUUAAAAACAAUCUUAAAACUACAAACCUGGCAAAGCUAUCCUUUUUGCUCAGGGCUGUGAAAAGGAGAAAGGGGCAUCUAAUUAAAACCAACACCCACGCCACAGUAGGUUGAUUAGAAAUGUAAGCAACUGAAGAGCCAGUCUGCCUCUGUCAUAGGUUUAAAAGCGCCUGACGGUAGAAAUCGACGAGGCCUGCCCCUGUUUGAGAUUAAAGCUCUGUUCCUCAAGGCCUGGCUCUGCCCCGCCUGUAACCUUACCUACAGACGGUUCUGCACUGCUUGCUCCAGGGAAUGGCAACCGUGUCUUUGCUUCAAACCAUCUUGCAAUCCUACUUUUGUUUUAAAAGUUUCUUCAUUUCCUUAUAGUUAGCCUUUUUUGGUCUCUUUUCUUCAUGUUAUAUUGUACACACACACACACACACACACACACACACACACACACAUUUGGGUAGAUUUCCAUUCCAGGAGAGCUCUGUGGUGAAUCCCAGAUUGACCUGAUGAAAGAAAAGCUGAAUUUGUAUAGUAGAGCCCAAAAGCUUUAAGUGUGAAACUAGGGCUUUUGUAAAGCUAAUUAUUAAUCUAAUUCUAAUUCUGUCAUUGACAUUUGUUUUUUGUUUGUUUGAUGAUAGAUAAGUACAUAAAAUAUAUUCAAUACUAGAACUGUAAAAUUUAAUAUGAAUCUUCACAAUUUCCACCCCAAAUGCUAAUUCUCUCUAUAUGGGAGUUCAUUCAGUUACAUAGACCUUGGGCCUGGUGAUGUUUUAUCUUUACUUGCAAGAUUUUUUUUUUUUUUAAAUAAUGAGGUUUAUAAAAUUUCAACAAUGAUUUUAAAAAUAAGAAUUUUCAGACUGUUAAUCUGACUUGUGAGGGAGGGAGUGAUUGAAAAUGGAAAGUAGGAAGGGAUUAGAGAUGUCCUACGGUGAUGGGGUACCAGUGUCGAAGUGAGCCAGAAGGUGGAUCAGGGGUGACAUUCAUGUCUUGUUUUAUUGAGAUGGUGUCUCCUGUGCCCGGCCCUGACCUCACACUCUGACUCAGCUGAGAAUGAUCUGCUGACCUUCCUGCAUCCACCAGCCCUCCAGUUCUGUGAUACCACCUGAGCCUCAGGCGCAGCUCAUGCAGGGUUGGGACAGAACCAAGCUGGCUUCGUGGCAUGCUAAGCAAGCAAUGUGCCAGUUGUUAAUCUUGCAAUUUUUGGGGAAACCCAAUGUCACCAUCUUGGGGCAAACUUAAAGCAAGCCUUAUGAACUAUUAAAUACUGACCAAGAGAUGCGCUUUCGUCAGGACCAUUCCCCACAUUCCCCGGCUGGAGUGGCCUUGAGCCUCAUGUUGCAGGGCUUAUAAGAACAAAUUUAUAAGGCACUGUGCUUUCCCAUGAGGCUUUGUUGUUUUCCGGCAUGAGUGUGCGGCAUUCCAGGAAGUUGCCUGGUUCCUGGCAGGUAAAGCGCACAGGUUAAUUCGUGGGCAUUAUACUUUGCCCCAGCCAUUCUCAAGUAUCUUGCCUGUGGAAACUCAUCCAAGCUGUAUUUCUUCACGACACUUCAUGGAAAAUAUUAUAGUAUUGUCUCCAGCAAACUAAAAUUUCAGAUUGUGAUUAGAUUCUUGUACAUCUUCGAAGAGGAAUACCAAAGUCUCAUGAGUUAUGUAUUUAGUAUAAUCUGACCUCUUUUUUUCUCCAUAGCCCAUGACAAACAUAAGGAAAACUUGCAUUUGGUAUAUGAUUUGUGUGUAUAUCAGUUGAUGGAUGGAAUGGGGAAGCUUGAGGGAGAAUCUUAAUAUCACAGCUCUUAGUGCCCAAAUACCAGCUUUUAAGUUUAAUUUCAGUCUUGAGCUCUGUCAUAAAUCCACCUGCGGAAUUCUCGCCUCAUGACUGAGAACUGCAAUAAGAAGCAAAGCACCCCUUCACACUCUUCUGACAUCUACCUGACUGUGGCAAAAGGUCGACUCUGAGCCACUUGCUAGCUGAGUGCCCUUAACCUCUCUGACUCACUCUCAGAACAUCUUCAGAAUGGGGCAGAAGGCAUUGUCAACUCUAUUUGACUCAUCUGUUCCUUGCUCAGAGCUAGUUUUGGUUGGGAUCAGAGAACCCAACUAGUGGAAAGAACAAUCGUGAGCGAUGGGGGACAGUAGAGACCCCCUCAAACCUCUCAGCAUCCCUCCCAGUAAGCUAGGCUUUCUCAUCUGUGUGGAAACUGUAUUGCAAGCCCUUAAAAAUACUGGGCAGGCUGUGUGUGUGUGUGUGUGUGUGUGUGUGUGUGUGUGUGUGUGUUUAUCUUUCUGUCUCUCCUCUCUCUCUGCUCUCUCUCUAAUUGCUAAGGCUCCAAACAUCAUGCUGUUUGGGAAAUCAUUCACCCAUCAUCUUCUUUAAGGCAGACAUUAUGUUUUAUCCACUUUUUCUUUUCACAUUCUCUCACAAGGUUGCACUUCGACACUGGUAAUUGCAGAUAGUUGGUUAGCAUUUGUUGACUUAAAAUUUCCAAUCACCUUUAAGAUGAAAACUGAAAGAAGAAUCAGUUAGGGGCCAAGAUAGUGUUUAACAGUUUCUCACUUCCAGGCAUAACCAAUAAGCCUAGUGGACGUGGACAGGGUUGGCCAACACACUCUUGUUCCCGAUGCAACCUAAAAUGCAGCCUCAGGCGCGAAUUUCAAGUGGCUAAUUCUGCUUCCUGAUGGCAGGCACUGAAAGGACAAACAAGCCACUUUUCCUGCUCAAUGAGCCUUUUCAAGUUUUAGUGUGAUGUGGAGAGGUGCAUGGUCCACGGCACGUGGAGGCCAGCAGUUACCUCUCAUCACCAACUUCUCUGGUGCAUUUCAACCCGUCUUGGCUGAGAGCGGGUCCAUUAUAGGCUUCUCCGGCUCCAGCUUACACGUGUUUCUCAAUGACAAGAUCCCUGAUAAAUGGAACAGAGAAUGGGGAAAUGGACUCAAAAUGAUUAGCUGGCCAUUUGCUUCUUUACCUCAGUUUCUGUCUGACAGAGUUAUUAAGAAAGAGCCUGUAAGAAGAGCACGGAUGUAUUUCUCCGGCCCUGGGCAAAUGAGUCACAGCCUCCUGAAGAGCUGGAAACAUGCAACUGGCACCCCCAUCUGAUGUCACCAUCUUAAGGAAGAGGACGGCCACGCAGCUCCUGAUGGAGUAGAGAACGGAGCCCAGCUCUGAGGUCUGUGCUGACCUUUUGCUGCCCAGUGUUUCUAGGGAAAGCAGGAAAAAGGCAGACAUCAACUUCUGAGGACACUAUUGUCUAAAGGACUGUUUUGAAGUCCCUGGCUUCCUAAGUCCCCAUUCCAGACGGGGGAGAUGGGGAAGACAUUGGCUAUGAAUUGGGUAAGACUUGGGAUCUGCUUGUAACUGGUAGUGAAAGAUGUUGAACAUGUUUUGGGUUCAAGGAGAAUCUGGAAGAAGCCUUAUGUUGUACAAAGGCUGAAGCUCCAGAAAGUUAAGUACCUUCCCCAGCGUCACCCAAGCAUUUAGAUCCUGUGUCUGAUUGAUGCCCACAUUCCUACUCUGAACUCCAGACCACCCUAGUCAUAUUAGCAAUGUGUCCUCAGGCAAAUUACCAGCUUCUCAAAACCACCAUUUUCUUCAUUGUAGAUAGACCCAUUGAUAGUCUUCCUGGCUUUAGUGUGGGUGACAUGACAGCUAUCAUGCACACGCCUGGCUUUAGUGUGGGUGACGUGACAGCUAUCAUGCACACGCCUGGCUUUAGUGUGGGUGACGUGACAGCUAUCAUGCACACGCCUGGCUUUAGUGUGGGUGACAUGACAGCCAGCAUGCACACGCCUGGCUUUAGUGUGGGUGACAUGACAGCCAGCAUGCACACGCCUGGUUUUAGUGUGGGUGACAUGACAGCUAUCAUGCACACGCCUGGCUUUAGUGUGGGUGACAUGACAGCUAUCAUGCACACGCCUGGCUUUAGUGUGGGUGACAUGACAGCUAUCAUGCACACGCCUGGCUUUAGUGUGGGUGACAUGACAGCCAGCAUGCACACGCCUGGUUUUAGUGUGGGUGACAUGACAGCUAUCAUGCACACGCCUGGCUUUAGUGUGGUUGAAAUGACAACUAGCAUGUACACGCCUGGCUCUGAGGCUGACACACAGGAGAGGCAGUUCUGCUCUCCAUCUGGAGCCAGUUUCUGUUCCAGUUUGCACCAGACUUUGUGUCCUGAAUACAGUGACUUGUGUAGAAAGGAGGAAGUUGAAGUUCUCACAAAGGUCAAUCAGGAAAGGUUGGAUGUGGCUGUAUGUUCUAGAUGAUAACUUCAAAUUGUCAAACAAAUCUUAGCCUGCAGAGACCUUUGUUCCAACCUUGUUCUCUAGGGGUAAAAUAAGUGAAAAUCAGAGAAAGAAUAAAUUCUAGUUCACCAGACUAAGUUUCACAUGCUGGUAGGGUUUCCAAAACCGUGUGUUCGAUAUUCAGGUGAAGUAUUACCUGCCUUACACAGUAGCUUUGUUUUGAAGUCCCUUUAUUGAUUCUAUUCUGUUUUGUUCUAUAUAAAUUGAAGCAAUGAAAUCAUAUCCAUUUAAUAAUUACAAGUAGAUAUCUGAAAUUAUUUGACCAUUGCUUGAAGUAAGUGCAUUCUUUUGUACUGUGGUUCUGAAAUUAUAGUCUAAGUAUAAAGGUGAUAUAGUUUAUAAAAAU